CCCACCUGGUGUCCCAGGUCUAGUCCCUGAUUAGAGGGGAAUCACCCACCUGGUGUCCCAGGUCUAAAUCAGUCCCUGAUUAGAGGAGAAUCACCCACCUGGUGUCCCAGGUCUAAAUUAGGCCCUGAUUAGAGGGGAAUCACCCACCUGGUGUCCCAGGUCUAAAUCAGUCCCUGAUUAGUGGAGAAUCUCUCACCUGGUGUCCCAGGUCUAGACCCUGAUGAGAGGAGAACAGUGGCGCUGGCUUGGAGCUCCAGGGUCCUAGAGGUCAUAGCUGUUCUACAUGUUAUUCUAUGGGUUUAAUCAGCCAGGAUCAGCUGUUUUCAUCUCCAGUGUGUUUUGCUGUACAGCAGGUUUCUCAAACUCGGUCCCGGGGCCCCUCUUGGGUACACUGGUUGUUGUCCUAGCACGACACAGCUGACUCAAAUAAUCAAAGCUUGACGAUGAGUUGGUUAUUUGAAUCGGCUAUGUACUGCUUGGACAACAACUAAAACAUGUGUAUACACACACAUAUGUCUGCCCUUGUUUGUGGGCUAAAGGAGAUCUGUUGGAUCAUGUAGCUCCAACCAGCUUAUAAAAACCAUUGAAUCAUGUUGAUGAGACAGGUCCUUCUGAAGAGAUAGGAACCUCUCUGCUCCUACAUGUUGAUGAGACAGGUCCUUCUGAAGAGAUAGGAACCUCUCUGCGCCUACACUCCUGCACAGAAAAAUAUCUUUCAUCACAGACCACCUCGUUAGAUCAUUGAGCUGAGCCAGAGACUGGGCUAUCUCUCUGCUAAAUCACAAUGUUUAUUAAAUCAUUGUGUCCAGAGUUGUUUAUCUCUCGUUAUCGCUCCCUGUUGGUAUGUGGUGGGGGGAGGAGAGGGAGAGUGCGGCUCUUUAACACUAAUGUGGGUAUAUCUCUGUCAUUUACAGUAGCCUGGGGAGGGAUGUUACAUGUAGGAAGCAGCCUGGGGAGGGAGGGAUGGAUGUUACACUGAAAGGCGUGAGGAAAGAAGUAGCACAUGCCACACCUCCCUGUCACUCAGUGGUCGCUAUGGAGCCUGCCGUGGUUGCCAUGGUGUUGUCGGGGAGGGGCAGUAGGAGAGGUUAAAGGAGACAGAAGAGUGACAUCAUACUCUCUUUCAGCUCCAGGGCUUUAUGGUUGACGUGAAGCGUUCAGAACGUUGCAGAUAGAAAUAGAUUAACUACAGCUGGAACGACUCCCUGUUCUACAUAACAGACCUGCCCAUGUUUGUUCUACACAAUACAUUUCUACAUCCUGAUAUGGUGGAGGCUGAUUAAAAGACGUUCUCGAGGGGCUUUAUUGGCAUGGGAAACAUGCCUACAAGUGAGAAAUAUUAAACAAAAGUGAGAAGGCAAAACAUCAACAACAAAUCGAUUAGAAUUUAACAGUAAACAUUGCACUCAAAAAGGUUUUUACAAAAAAAAAUCAACAUUUCAAAUAGUCUGUUUUGAUUUUUCUUUUCAAAUUCUUUGUGUUUCUGUGUGAAAUAUGUAUCUGUAAUGUGAUUAUACAUUUAGCAUGAGGUCAGGAAGUGCAGCUCAGUCUCACUCUCAGGGCUCUGGCAGACAAAGAUCACGGACACUGCUGAUACUCUUAGACACACACAUUGUGUUAAUGGUGCUGUCACUACACACACACACACACACACAGACGACAUGUAUGCAUCAGGUGCAUGUUGUAUGGACCAGGUCGCAGAGGUUAUAGUUCAGGGUUCAACCUCCUUUCUGUUUCUCCAUCACUCAACGACACUGUCAGAGUUUGUUUUUAUUUUGACUUAUCCUGUAUUCCUUCCUUUUUCUUUUCUUUUUUUAUAGAAAUGUUUUUUUUAUAGCUUUUUGUUACUCAAGACGAGAGGUUUUUAAAAGCAUAAAUGAAGGUGACGAUGUGUUUAUUAGCGUUAGCGGUGGUGAUGUGUGUUGUAGGCUGUUUCAGCAUGAUGGAAUCACAUGAAACUGUUUCAACACUGAGAUGAAGACCUACUGUUAACCGGUGAGCUGUAAUAAAAU
ensembl:lncRNA